rnacentral:rRNA from 1 species
GGAAUCUUCCACAAUGGGCGAAAGCCUGAUGGAGCAACGCCGCGUGCAGGAUGAAGGCCUUCGGGUCGUAAACUGCUUUUAUAAGUGAAGAAUAUGACGGUAACUUAUGAAUAAGCACCGGCUAACUACGUGCCAGCAGCCGCGGUCAUACGUAGGGUGCAAGCGUUAUUCGGAGUGACUGGGCGUAAAGAGUUGCGUAGGUGGUUUGUUAAGUGAAUAGUGAAAGCCGGCGGCUCAACCGUACGGACUAUUGUUCAAACUGGCAAACUCGAGAAUGGUAGAGGUAACUGGAAUUUCUUGUGUAGGAGUGAAAUCCGUAGAUAUAAGAAGGAACACCAAUGGCGUAGGCAGGUUACUGGACCAUUUCUGACACUGAGGCACGAAAGCGUGGGGAGCGAACCGG